rnacentral:sRNA from 1 species
UAGGAUUGGGAAGCUGAGGCUUAAAGAGGGAUCACUUGCCCAGGCUUUUACAGCAGGAGCAGAUGUGAUCCCAGCCACAGCUUUCAGGCCCCUGGGCUCCUCACACCUUACCAUAUACCCCGCAGGCUGCUGCCAGGGCUGCUGCCCCGCUCCCUCCUCCUCCUUCCCCUGGAGUCAGUGGUGGGAAGCUUCCCAGGAGAGUCCUCAGCAACCUUUGGAACACAGGACUUGGCCAUGACUGUCUCCUGUCGCUAUGUGGGCCCAGAUGGUUGAGGUACAUCUAGGGGUUCUCAUCCCAGCUAGGCUCAGGUUGGGGCAGUCUGAAACAGGAUGGGUCCCCUUCUAGAAGUCCCUUUCAGCUAACAGUCUGGAACUUGCAGUUGACCCAGAUAGAUUCAGGAGUGUAGGCUAGACUUGGCUUCCAGCCUGGGCCCUGUCUGGCGUUCUGGGCUUCAGUUUCUUCAUCUGUACAGUGGCCUCAGGAGGAUGGGAGGCCCCACCUGGUAACAACCCUGUGCCACCCCAGCUUGAGCAGGAGGUGGAGCGGCGGCGGCGGCUGGGGCAGGAGUCAGCAGCUAGGAAAGCCCUCAUCGCGAGUUCCUACCACCCGGCACGGCCUGAGGUCUACGACUCACUGCAGGAUGCAGCUCUGGCUCCCGAGUUCCUGGCCGUGACUGAGUACAGCGUGUCCCCAGGCGCAGACCUCAAGGGCCUUCUCCAGCGGCUGGAGACAGUAUCGGGGCCCAGCAAGAAAGAACAGCCCCUUCUGGCCUUCCUGCUGGGGGACAGAGGCUCCCAGAGCCACUUCUGAGUUGGGGUACAGACUUCGGUGGCUCAUCAGAUGAAAGGAGAGGAGAAGCGCAUCUACCGGGUGCCUGUGUUCACAGCGCCCUUCUGCCAGGCCCUGCUGGAAGAGCUGGAGCACUUCGAGCAGUCGGACAUGCCUAAGGGGAGGCCCAACACCAUGAACAACUACGGGGUGCUGCUGCACGAGCUCGGGCUGGACGAGCCGCUGAUGACACCACUGCGGGAGCGCUUCCUGCAGCCGCUGAUGGCCCUGCUGUACCCUGACUGUGGCGGGGGCCGGCUCGACAGCCACCGGGCCUUUGUGGUCAAAUACGCGCCGGGCCAGGACCUGGAGCUGGGCUGCCACUAUGAUAAUGCUGAGCUUACCCUCAAUGUGGCCUUGGGCAAGGUCUUCACGGGGG